rnacentral:rRNA from 1 species
GAUGAACGCUGGCGGCGUGCCUAAUACAUGCAAGUCGAGCGAAUGGAUUAAGAGCUUGCUCUUAUGAAGUUAGCGGCGGACGGGUGAGUAACACGUGGGUAACCUGCCAUAAGACUGGGAUAACUCCGGGAAACCGGGGCUAAUACCGGACAACAUUUUGAACCGCAUGGUUCGAAAUUGAAAGGCGGCUUCGGCUGUCACUUAUGGAUGGACCCGCGUCGCAUUAGCUAGUUGGUGAGGUAACGGCUCACCAAGGCAACGAUGCGUAGCCGACCUGAGAGGGUGAUCGGCCACACUGGGACUGAGACACGGCCCAGACUCCUACGGGAGGCAGCAGUAGGGAAUCUUCCGCAAUGGACGAAAGUCUGACGGAGCAACGCCGCGUGAGUGAUGAAGGCUUUCGGGUCGUAAAACUCUGUUGUUAGGGAAGAACAAGUGCUAGUUGAAUAAGCUGGCACCUUGACGGUACCUAACCAGAAAGCCACGGCUAACUACGUGCCAGCAGCCGCCGUAA